GCAGUUUCUCCUUUUCCCUUGAUACGAUAAGCGCCAUCGUCUUCAUAGGUUCUCUUCUAAGCUUUUACUUCUUCCAUAAUGAGAUGAGAGCAAACUCAUUUUCCAGUGAAGAAAGAAGUUGAAGCUUGCGGAACUAAGAACAAUACGUAAAGGUGAUAGCACAAUGACGGACUAUUUUCUUCGUCCAAAGGCGAUGUCUGAUCAACUUGCGGUGUCGGGGUCUAAACUCUCACAAUCUGAGUUGAAGCAAAAUAUUCUUCAAGGUCUUGAAACCUCAUUCGAUUAUAUUGUUACUUCUUUACAUACCACAAUGGAUGGUAUGUCUUUUGAGGAUUUUAAAUCUCACCUGUUCGCCUAUGAAUUGCGUACAAAUCAAUAAUAAGCUCUUUUUCCGACUCCUACCACCGUUCAUAUAGCUGCCAGACCUUCUAAUCCUCGUCCUUACAAUUCAACUCCACGUCCUUCUUUUUCCUAUUCAUCUCCUUGUCCGUCCUAUCACUUCUUAUUGAACCCCACGUCCAACUGUCGUCGUCCCAAUUUCAACCAGAGUCGUGGUGUCCACAUACCUCAAUCAUCUCACUUCAAAUGAUUCUUAAGAACCUUGUGGUUUAUGUGGUGGACGAAAUUAUCUUGUUUGGAGGUGCUGGCAUCAAUUUGAUCCCAAUUUCGUGCGUUCUUCCAUUAACAACCGGUGUCCAUGAUUCAAUCCUCCCUUUGCAUAUGUGGUUGCACCAAGUUCUUUUCAAUAUAGUCAAUGGGUAGCAGAUUCUGGCGCUUCUCAUCAUAUAACUCGCUAUAUACAUAAUCUACAUGUGAGAACUUUGUAUGAAAGUCCUGAUAAAGUAAAAAUAGACGAACAAGGAGGUGCUCCGCGGGCAAAUUGAAAAUGGUUUAUACUUAUAUUUUGGUGCAACAACCUCGGAGCUACUUACAUUGCAGUUGUGAUGGCUUCAUUCAGUCGACUACAUGAAAGGCCAUUGUACGAGACGGUGGUGUUGGAGCUAAUUAGUGAUAUAAUUGUUAAUUUUCGUAUAUUACGCGGUACAUUAGGAGGUUCUCGGAUUGCGGCGCUACUGAGAAAACAUGGAGAGAAUGAUGUUAUUAUUAUAGAGAGGGAUCACAUCUAAAUGUAUUAAACCGUUUUGGCGACAUAAAUCUAGAAAAUACUGAAUAUUGGUAUCAAAUUGUCAAAAAUGUUGACUGUACUUUUAAAUCAAUUAUCUAUGACAUGUAUGGAUGAAAAUUGGAAGGAUGCUCCUUUGGAAAUUGACAUCCUAACACAAUGUACUUUCGGUAUGGAAGCCAUGAGAUUUAAAGGACGUGCUAACGACACAUUAAAUAUGGAAAAUGUGUUCCACAUACAGAUUCUUUUGUUGAUGAGGAAGACCACAUCAUUUAUGAUCCUAAGGAACUGAGCAAACUUAUACCCAAGAUUUGGUAGCUUUCGGAAGAAAAUUGCUAGCCCUAUGAUGCAAGAUGAGUGGGCAAAUGGCUUUAUCCUAUGUGCUGAGGCUAGUGAGUUAACUUGGAGAAUCACAUGGAUAGGAUGGUAAAAUAUGAGUAGAGGGGAGAUUCGAUCAUACGACUUCACUCUCAAGGACCAAAAUACUUAACCACUGGGCCAAGCUCAAAUUGUUGAAAUAAAUAUUCAAAAGAAGUC